ACAUGACGCACAGCGCUGCCCGGCAGCGAUGCCCCGAGGGCGGCCGCGGGGUCUCCCUGUCUCGGCGAGGCCCUUGUCACAGGCCGAAGCAACACAUGUUUAUUGAGGAACAGUUGGAAAACCCAGAAGAACCGAAAGAAGAAAACACUUAGCUGAAGACAACCAUUCAAAAGAUGUAAUCGAGUUAAGAUGAGGCCACACUGGAAUAGGACUGGUGUCCUUAUAAGAAGAGGGUAAUUUGGACACAGAAACACAGAAGAAAGAAGGCCUGGUGAAGAUGAUGGCAGACAUUGGAGUGAUGCAACCACAAGCCAAGGAAAUCCAAGGACUGCCAACACCAGAAGAGAGGCAUGGGACAGAUUAUCUGUGAGAACCUCCAUAAGGAACUAACCCCGCUGACAACUUCAUUUCAGACUUGUGCCCUCCAGAACUGUAAAUGAAGACAUUUCUGUUGUCUUAAGCCACCAGUUUGUGCUAAUUUAUUACAGCAGUCCUAGCAAACUAAAACACUGUGAAGCCAUUUAUAAUCUUCCCAAAGCUCUCAUUUCUUUUGCAGUCUCCUCAUUUACCAUGAUUUUUUUUAACUUGCUACUUAAUGUCGCUUAAGUGAAGGAAAAAUGUCAUUUAAAAUUAUUAGCACAGGGUGCCUGGGUGGCUCAGU